rnacentral:tRNA from 1 species
CAAAAGGUAGUUUAAGAAAAAUACUGGCUUUGGGGGCUAGUGAUAGGGUGUGUUAUACCUUUCUUUUGA